rnacentral:rRNA from 1 species
UACGGGGGGAGCAAGCGUUGUUCGGAUUUACUGGGCGUAAAGGGCGCGUAGGCGGCCAGCGCAAGUCAGUUGUGAAAUCUCCGGGCUUAACUCGGAACGGUCAACUGAUACUGCGCGGCUAGAGUGCGGAAGGGGCAACUGGAAUUCUCGGUGUAGCGGUGAGAUGCGUAGAUAUCUGGAGGAACAACAGAGGCGAAGGCGACCUUCUGGACUGUUACUGACACUGAGAUGCGAAAGCGUGGGGAGCAAACAGG